rnacentral:rRNA from 1 species
CGAACGCGUGCAGUAAUGCACGAGUGGCGCACGGGUGAGUAACUCCUUUUAAGCUGCCUUUUGGUUCGGAACAACCCCGGGAAACCGCUUCUAAUACCGGAUGGUUCCUACGGGAUAAAGAUUUAUCGCCAAAAGAGGAGUCCGCGUCCGAUUAGCUAGUUGGUGAGGUAAAGGCUCACCAAGGCGACGAUCGGUAGCUGGUCUGAGAGGACGAUCAGCCACACUGGGACUGAGACACGGCCCAGACUCCUACGGGAGGCAGCAGUGGGGAAUAUUGGACAAUGGGGGCAACCCUGAUCCAGCCAUGCCGCGUGAGUGAUGAAGGCCUUCGGGUUGUAAAGCUCUUUUGGCGGGGACGAUGAUGACGGUACCCGCAGAAUAAGCCCCGGCUAACUUCGUGCCAGCAGCCGCGGUAAGACGAAGGGGGCAAGCGUUGUUCGGAAUUACUGGGCGUAAAGCGAGUGUAGGCGGCGAGCCAAGUCGGGUGUGAAAGCCUCGAGCUCAACUCGAGAAAUGCAUUCGGUACUGGCCUGCUAGAGGACCGGAGAGGAUAGUGGAAUUCCCAGUGUAGUGGUGAAAUACGUAGAGAUUGGGAAGAACACCAGUGGCGAAGGCGGCUAUCUGGACGGUUACUGACGCUAAGACUCGAAAGCGUGGGGAGCAUACAGGAUUAGAUACCCUGGUAGUCCACGCCGUAAACGAUGGGUGCUAGACGUUGGCGGGCUUGCUCGUCAGUGUCGCAGCUAACGCGUUAAGCACCCCGCCUGGGGAGUACGGCCGCAAGGUUGAAACUUCAAAG